rnacentral:rRNA from 1 species
AUGCAUGCAGGCAAUUGUUUGCGGCUGUGCGGGAAAGGCGGGGUUGAGAACAGUAGGUCGUGUCAUUGCGAUUGCCUUGCUCUCAUCAAGUUGUUGCGGUCCAAAAACAAUGGUUGGUACAUAGCAGAACGCCGUGAGAGGAGCACAACCACAGAAGUUGAUCUAUGGCACAGGAGGUUCACUUUCAGAUUCCCCUUUCUGGAGGAAUUGGAUGAGAGCGCAACCCUGAUGGAACAGGCAGCGUUCGCGGUGGUUCGUUUGGCCAUGAGUGCGGACAAGAAGGUCCGUGAGGAAGACAGAGUAAAAGGUGUGAGGCGAGAGGCGUUGCCGCCGGAGUCCGAGAUGUUCAACGGGAAGAUGAACCUACAUGCAUCUGGUUGGGUUAAGAGGUGUGUUUCCCUAAAUCUAUCAAACAAGUAUGCAUUGCUGAAUUUUUGUUGUUGA